CCAAGGAGUNUAUCGUGCGUGCAAGUCAAUGGGUGUCGAAUAACCCCAUGGGCGCAAUGAAAGGUGAAAGCCGGACCAGUUCCGGCAGAGAUGCGAUCCCGGGGUUGAACUCCCCGGGCGCAGCAUCGGCCCGUCCCGUCCGCGACGUCGGUGGGGCGGAGCAAGAGCACGUACGUUGGUACCCGAAAGAUGGUGAACUAUGCCUGGGCAGGGCGAGGCCAGAGGAAACUCUGGUGGAGGUCCGAAGCGAUUCUGACGUGCAAAUCGAUCGUCCGACCCGGGUAUAGGGGCGAAAGACUAAUCGAACCAUCUA
rnacentral:rRNA from 1 species